rnacentral:rRNA from 1 species
GACGAACGCUGGCGGCGUGCCUAAUACAUGCAAGUAGAACGCACAGUUUAUACCGUAGCUUGCUACACCAUAAACUGUGAGUUGCGAACGGGUGAGUAACGCGUAGGUAACCUGCCUGGUAGCGGGGGAUAACUAUUGGAAACGAUAGCUAAUACCGCAUAAUAUUAAUUAUUGCAUGAUAAUUGAUUGAAAGAUGCAAUUGCAUCACUACCAGAUGGACCUGCGUUGUAUUAGCUAGUAGGUGAGGUAACGGCUCACCUAGGCGACGAUACAUAGCCGACCUGGGAGGGUGAUCGGCCACACUGGGACUGAGACACGGCCCAGACUCCUACGGGAGGCAGCAGUAGGGAAUCUUCGGCAAUGGACGAAAGUCUGACCGAGCAACGCCGCGGGAGUGAAGAAGGGUUUCGGAUCGUAAAGCUCUGUUGUAAGAGAAGAACGGGUGUGAGAGUGGAAAGUUCACACUGUGACGGUAUCUUACCAGAAAGGGACGGCUAACUACGUG